ensembl:lncRNA
CACAAGUUCGAGGCCUGUCUGAAGUCCAUAGUGAGACCGUGUUUCAAGGAAGUCACAAGGAAGUUCAGCUCUGCCCUUUUUCUGGUAUCAGGUUGAGCCUCAGAAAACCUCACUGGUGAAUGAAAAGUGGAAGAGCUGUGAGUGCUCAGGACCUUUCCCCAGUUCCCCAUCUGAUGGACUUGGGAGCAAUAGUUCUGCUUUGAUAAUUACUCCAUAUUGCCAGAUGGAUGAGCUAGGAGGGGUUAUCGCCAAUUCUACCAUAAAGUUUAUCAUUGCAGAUAACUUUUGCAAGCUAAUUCUCAGUUUGGUUAGCUGAGACCUUGGGAACAUCCUUUGAUCCAAAAAUCUCUGGGGUCUAGAAAAUCAACACAGAAAAAAUAAACACAAAGCAAAGAAAGAAAGGAAACUACUGUUAUUUUCAGAUUAUAUGACUGUGUACAGACAGAAAACAAAAGAAGCCACAUGUAAAUUAUGAGAAUUAAUAAGUGAAUUUCCUAAGUUUACUGGGUAACAGGACAGUAAACAAGAAACACUUGUGGAAAUGCAAGUUUAAAGCCACAGUGAGAUACCACUCACCAGAAUGGCUCACUUUGAACAAAACUUCAUCUUUAAAAUGUUGACAAUGACAUAAAGCAGGAGAAAUUUUAUGUGGAAGGUAUGUAAAUUUAUACCACUGCUUUGAAAACCCACUUAGCAGUGUGUAAUGCAGCUGAAGAGGAAAGUAUUCAGCGAACCAACAUUCCAGUGCACACACAGAAGACGGUCACCAGUGGACGCGGAGGCCACUCGUGAGUCCAGAGGAGCUCUGAGCUCGGCUGCCCUGGACCUGGCAGGAGCCAAAGGGAGUCAGUUCGUCUGCAGAACAAAGAUUCUAAGAGUAGGACUGGGGAUGUAGCUCAGUGGCACCAUUCCUGCCUCGAAAGUGCGAGGUCCUGAGUUUGAUCCCCAGUACCAGAAAAAAAAGACCAAAAAUUCCAAGAGUCAAAAAUCUUCCAUAUGCAAUGGUUUAUUGAGCAUUUGUCACAUUUGUGGCAGGACAGGGGGUGCACCCCGCCUAAGCUGGAAGCUGGAGGCGGCCCGUCGGCGUAGGGUCUUCCACCUGCCAACACGGGAGGCAAAGGGCAGCGCUGGAACUCAUGGCCAUCCGGGAACCAGUACAGGGCUCUUCCUCUUUUAUGCCCUGGGGAGUCUGGUACAAAUAACAUGUGCUAAUCUUAUAGGGGUAAAAAUGUAUUUUGCAGGGUGCUUUGAUCACCAAUUCUAUUCUACGAGAACCUAGAUAUCAACUUUACUGCGGGACCCUUAGGACGACCCCAAUAACUUUUAGGAAAAAUUCUGUAUCUGGCAUGAACCUGAAAGCUUUGCCUCAAGGGAAACUUAGAAGUUUUCUUUAAUAUGUGGGGAGAAUGAGCCACUAAAUGGUUUGAUGUCCAGUGAAUCUGCUGGUUACAGGUUCCACAAAAGAAGGGCUGGACUCGGAUCAGUCAGUGACCUAGGGCCAUGGCGUGUGUGUGUGUGUGUGUGUGUGUGUGUGUGUGUGUGUGUGUGCACUGCAGGGGACAC